GCUUUUUUCGCUUUGGUUCUAAAUUCCAUACUUCACAAAAUUGACGAUAAAAUAAAUUUAUUUGUUACGAUUUCGUCUACCUUAGUUAUUGAUAAUCGUUUUUUAUUGUGUAUCUCAUUACAUGUUUAUAAAAAAUCUAUUAUAACAACAGCAACACAAAAUAUAAUUACACAUUCAAGUUAAACAAUUAAACAAUCUGAGGCAUUUCAUGCUUAUUGCAUAGAAUUUCGAUAUCCAUGUAUUUUCUGACAAAAUCCCUGCAAGUUAAUUCUUUAACUGCCUCAAAUGCUUCAAAGUGUAUCUGUUAGGCACACACAGCACUGUGAAAUUUAAACAGCACAUUCCAAAGAGGAAAUAUUGUACAGUUCGACAAGGCUGUUUAUGAACGUGGUGAGAAAAGGAACUAAC